rnacentral:tRNA from 1 species
GGCCUGUUUGCUCAGCUGGUUAGAGCAUGGUGCUGAUAACGCCAAGGUCAUGGGUUCAGUCCCCAUACGGGCCA